rnacentral:lncRNA from 1 species
UCCCUGGACGACCUCCCCCGCCACGGCGAUGCCUCCCGAUGACGGGUCGGCCAUCUCUUCAGUGACUUGGUCGCCGGCCCCCGGCGGGACGAUACUGCUGAGGUCCAGCUCCGGGUACAAGGCUUGGACCGCAUCCCGACCGUCCUCGUACCCCACCCGGUAUGACGCGAAGCCAGACUCCAACAUCUCCUCCCGGUACUGGUCGGUGGCGCGGAAGUCAUCCACC